GCAACGUGAACGCGUCAGACCGGGCCGGGCGCACGGCGCUGCACCAUGCAGCCUUCAGUGGACACCAGGAGAUGGUGAGGCUGCUUCUCUCCAGAGGAGCCAACAUUAAUGCCUUUGACAAGAAGGAUCGCCGAGCAAUCCACUGGGCUGCUUACAUGGGGCACAUUGAGGUGGUGAAACUGCUGGCCUCUCAUGGAUCAGAGGUGUCCUGUAAAAACAAGAAGGCCUACACCCCUCUCCACUCUGCAGCCUCCAGUGGAAUGAUCAGUGUG